AUUGACAGAUUAUCGGAAUUGCCAAAACCAGUUGUAAAACACAUCCUAUCAUUCAUCCCCUUAAAAAAAAUACUUCAACUCAGUACAUUGUCCAAGAGAUGGCAAAAGAGUUUGAUUGCUCCAAAAGAAUUGAGAGAAACACUUUCAUCCCCAUUAUAUAAUGUCAAGCAAUUGAUGUUAAAGGUAUUGUAUCGACGUCCGAGAGAUGAGAUCAUCGAACUUGUAGAUUCCUUGUUAUGGAUUUAUCCUCUUCUAGAGAUUCUUUUUAUAGAAUGGGAGAAGACAGGUGACAAUAUAUCUUUCAAGUUCUUAUACGAAACUCCUGUUUACAAAUCAAAAAAUCCAAGUUGUUGCAAAUUUCUUCCAGUUCCGUGUUGGCGACAUUGCUUAAAGACUAUCAAGAUUGAUGAGUUUGGAAGAUCUUCAGAUGUCAAAGCUCUAAAGAAAUAUUUCCGUAAAAAUGCAGAAAUAUUAGAGAGCAUCCUAUAAUUUCAAGGACGUAGAGGAUUUGCAA